CUUCUCUAUACGAUACGUAGUUGUCAGUCAUUUUCUCAUUGAGGGCAAAAGUCGCAGAAGGCUUUUUAUUCAUUAUUAUUAAUGUCCUUUGAAAAAAGACCCUUUAAUUAAUGUUCCUAUUGGGCACAGAGCUUUUUAAAGACACCACUCCCUCCCUAACACACACAGCUGUGUUUUAUAGACUAAUUGUCACCUAACCAAGGGACCCCACAGGGAUCUGCAAUUUGUCCCACCUCUGCCCUGCCACACUUCCCUGCAACGCUCCUAAUUGCUGAAUCCCAUUCAGCCUCAUGAAAGUGGUGGCCGAUAUUUAAAGUUCAUUUCAGGAAGGCUUCAUAAUAACUGGGGAAAAUAACAUAAUCUCGUUUUAAAACAUUUCCUUCCUCUGUUCUGCUGAUAGAAUCAAACAAUCCAGAGUUCCAUCUGUCCUGUCACAGGUCCAGAUUUUAGGAUGUGGUUUUGAAGUUACUUGUUUUCUUUGUUUCAGGGCACCUCUGGUGGGAUUCCCUCCCCUUCUGGAUGGGUGCAGGCUGUACCACUUGUCCCUUGGAUUUGCAAUUCCAGGAGGAAAAUAAUGAGCCAGCAUUGUGGGAAAAUGUCACUCUGCCCCAGUGAUCAGUCUCUAAGACUGGGGAGGGAAGUCAAGCUUGAAACGGCAGAGUGGAUUUUCUCUUCAAGGAGCACUUUUAAAGAAAACAAAGGCUUCUGUGAUCAAUAUUUUAUGUCAAACAUCCUGUGAGGAUGAAGGGCCCUUCUAUGCUUCACCAUUUUAACCUCUCAUUUGGAAAAGCAAAAAGGCCUGGGAGAAGCUGCGUUCGCAAAAUCUCUCCUGGAUGACUUGUUCAGAAGCCAGUUCAGUAAAUUCAAACUGUUCCAGAGUCCCCUUUUGAAAACCACAGAUGCCGUGGACCCACUAAGGUGAGGACGCAGUGUUUGUCCCCUCCAGGAGACACAGUGUUCAAGGCGCCAUCUUGGAAGCAGAGACCAAGCCCUUGCCAUACUAAACAGGCUAGCACUGUGAUCUUGGACUUGUCAGCCUCCACAAUGGCUCACAGUUAGACUACAUUCCUAGCCUCCUGAAGAGUUAGGUACAGCUGUGUGACUGAAUUCCUGCCAAUGAAAUGUGGUGAGAACCACUUCCAGGCCUGGCCCACAGAAACCUCCCAUAGACAAUUCUUCAUCCUCUUUCCUUUUGCAUCAGGCCUGAUACAGAAGAGCAUGACAACUUUGGAACCCCUGCAUAGAAAGCGGAGAAGCCACAAGCUGAGGAGCUUCUGGAUUCUUCCAAUUUUAGCAGUCCUUCCAAUUUUAGCUCUGGAUUUUGUUCAAAUGAGAAACAAAUCCCAACAUUUCCAAAGCAAGUAAUAUUGUACAAUCAUAAGUCAUUUCAAAAUCACAGAGAAAAGUAGCAAUCUUCCCAAAGAAUUAAGAAAGUCUGCUAGGCCACGAAACAAGUGUUAAUAAAUUUGAAAAGACUGACUGAAAUUAUACCUCAUAUCUUUUCUAAUCAUAGUGAACUGGAACCAGAAAUUAAUAACAGAAGGAAAGCUGGAAAAUCCACAAAUACGUGGAAAUUAAACAAUACACUCUCAAACAACCAAUAGGUUAAAGAAGAAAUCAUAAAAGAAAUUAGAAAAUAUCUUGAGAUAAAUGAAAAAGAGAACACAACAUAACAAAGCUUAUGGGAUGCAGUAAAGGCAGUGCUAAGAGGGCAAUUUAGAGCUGUAAAUGCUUACACCAGAAAGGGAGAAAGACCUGAAAUCAACAAGUUCACUUUACACCUUAUGGAUCUAGAAAAAGAAGAACAAACUAACCUCAAAGCUAGCGAAGGAAGGAAAUAAUGAGAAAAGGACAGAGAUAAACAAAGUAGAGACUAGAAAAACAACAGAGAAAAUGAAUGAAACCAAGAGUCGUUUCUCUGAAAAAAUCAACAAAAUUGACCAACCUUUAUCUACAUUAACUUAGGAAAAAAAAGAAAAAAAGAAAGAGAAGACUCAAAUAAAUCAGAAAUGAAAGAGGGACAUUACAACCAAUUUCACAGAAAUAGACAGUCUUUUAAGAGAAUACUGUGAUCAGCUGUGUGCCAAAACUUUCAAUAACCUGAAUGAAAUGGAUACAUUCUAGAAACACACAACCUAUCAAGACUGAAUAAUGAACAUAUAGAAAAUCUGAACAGACCUUAAUAAAGAGAUUGAAUCAGUAUCAAAAAAGCUUCCAAAAUAGAAAAGCCCAGGACCAAAUGUCUUCCCUGGUGAAUUCAACCGAACAGUUAAAGAAGAAUUAACACCAACUCUCCUCAAACUCUGCAAAAAAAAAUUGAACGGGAAGGAAACCUUCCACACUUAUUCCACGAGGUCCUCAAUACCCUGAUACCAAGGGCAAACAAAGACACUACAAGAAAAGAAAGCUAUAAACUAAGAUCAUGGCUAAAUAUUGAUGCAAACAUCCUAAACAAAAUACUAGCAAACAGAACUUAACAACAUAUUAAAAGAAUUAUACCCCAUGACCAAGCAAAGUUUAUUCCUGGAAUGCAAGGAGGUUUCAACAUAUGAAAAUCCAUCAAUGUAAUAAACCACAUUAACAGAUUAAAAGAAAAAACACAUAAUCAUCUCAAUUGAUGCAGAAAAAGUAUUAAUAUUUGGAAAAAUUAACACUCAUGAUGAAAACACUCAACAAACUAGGGAUAGAAGAAAAUGUCCUCAACGUGAUAAAGGCCAUAGCUGAAGAGCCCACAGCCAACAUCAUACUCAGUGGUGAAAGACUGAAAUCUUUUCUUCUAAAAUCAGGAACAAGAAUAGGAUGACCACUGUUAUGAACUAAAUUGUGUCCUCUUAAAUUCAUAUGUUGAAGCUCUAGCCCUCAGUAUGACUGUUUUUGGAGAUAGGGCCUUUAAGGAGGUAAGUGAGGUUAAAUGAGAUCAGAAGAGUGAGGUCCUAAUCUGAUAAGACUGUUGUCCCCAUUUUUUUUUUUUUUUUUGGAGACGUGGUCUUGCUCUGUUGCCCAGGCUGGAGUGCAGUGGCAUGAUCUCGGCUCACUGUAACCUCCAUCUCCUGGGCUCAAGUGAUCCUCCCACCUCAGCUUCCCAAGUAACUGGGACUACAGGUAUGCACCACCACACCCAGCAAAUUUUUGUAUCUUUAGUAGUGGUGGGGUUUCACCAUAUUGCUCAGGCUGGUCUCAAACUCUUGGGCUCAAGCAAUUCAUCCACCUCGGCCUCCCAAAGUGCUGGGAUUAUAGGCAUGAGCCACUGUGCCUGGUUUAGGACUGAUGUCUUUAUAAGAAGAGGAAGAUGCCAGGUGUGGUAGCUCAUGCCUAUAAUCCCAGCACGUUGGGAGACCGAGGCGGGUGGAUCAUUUGAAGUCAGGGGUUCCAGACCAGCCUGGCCAACAUGGUGAAACCCCGUCUCUACUAAAAAUACAAAAAUUAGCUGGGCACGGUGGCGCAUACCUAUAGUCCCAGCUACUCAGGAGGCUGAGGCAGGAGAAUCGCUUGAAGCCGGGAGGCAGAGUUUGCAGUGAGAGUGAGCCAAGAUUGCGCCACCGCACUCCAGCCUGGCAACAGAGCAAGACUCCAUUAAAAAAAAAUAAAAACAAAACAACAACAACAACAACACCCAAACUUCUAGAACUAAUAAACAAAUUUUAAAAAGUAGCAAGAUACAAAAUCAGCAUGUAUAAUUCCAUUGUAUUUCUAUGCAGGAACAAUGAACAAUCUGAAAAGAAAAUUAAGAAAAUGGUUCUAGAAACAGUCAUAUCAAAAAUAAUAAAAUACGCAGGAAUAAACUUCUCCAAAGAGGCAAAUGAAUGACUUGCACACUGAAAACUACAAAGUGUUGCUGAAAUAAAUUAAAAAAAACACAAAAGGAAAGAUGUCUGAUGUUCUGGACUGGAAGACUUAAUAGCAUUUAGAUGUCAAUACUACUCAAAAAGAUCUACAGAUUUAAUGUAAUCCCUAUCAAAAUCCCAAAUAUUUUUUUUCAGAAAUAGAAAAGUCCAUUGUACAAUUAAUAUGGAAUGUCAAGGGACCCCAAAUAGCCAAAACAAUCUUGAAAAAAGAAUAGUUGUUGGCCUCACAAUUCCUGAGUUCAAAUUUUAUUACAAAACAACAGUAAUUAAAACAAUGUGAUACUGGCAUAAAGACAGACACAUAGACCAAUAGAAUAGAGAGACCAGAAAUAAAUCCUUGCAUAUAUAGCCAAAUGACUUUUGAGAAGAGUGCAAAGACCAUUCAACAGGGAAAGGACAACUUUUUCAACUGGGUAUGGAAACUGGGUAUCUGUAUGCAAAAUAAUGCAAAAUAAUGAAGUUGGACCCUUACCAUACACCAUACACAAAAAUUAACUCAAAAUGGAUCAAAGACGUUACUAUAAGAGCUAAAAUUAUAAAACUCUCUGGAGAAAGCAUAGGAAAAAACAUCCAUGACAUCAGAUUUGACAAUGAUUUCUUGGCUGUGACAUCAACAUCACAGGCAACAAAAGAAAAAAUAGAUGAAUUAGAUCCAUCAAAAUAAAAAAAAAACCUGUGUAUCAAAGGACACAAUCAACAGAUUGAAAAGUCAACCUACAGAAUGGGAGAAAAUAUUUGCAAAUUAUCUAUCUAAGUAGGGUUUAAUAUCCAGAAUAUGUAAAGAAUUCCUACAACUCAACAAUGAAAAACCCAGUAACACGAUUAAAAACUAGGCAAAGUAUUUGAGUAGAUAUUUCUCCAAAGAAAAUAUACAAGUGGUCACCAAGUAAAUGAAAAGAUACUCAACACCACUAAUAAUUACGGAAAUACAAAUGAAAACCACAGUGAGAUACCACCUCAUACCCAUGAGGAAGGACACUAUCAAAAGAACAGAAAAUAAGUGUUGGCAAGGAUGUGGAGAAACUGGAAUAUUGUGCAUUGUUGGUGGAAAUGUAAAAUGGUGCAGCUACUAUGGAAAACACUAUGCUGAAUCUAACCGUGACAGAACCUCAAACGAAUCUAAAUUAAGGGAACUUUCUACAAAAUAACAAGCCUGUACUCUUCAAAAAUGUCAGUGUCAUAAAAGAUAAAGAAAGGCUCAGCAACGAUUCCAGAUGGAAAAGACCAAAGGGACAGAACCACUAAAUGCAUUGCGUGAUUAUGGAUUGAGUCAUCAGUUAAGGAAAAUUUUGCCAUAAAAGGCAUUAUUGGGACAACUGACAAAAUUUGAAUUUGUUUCUUGAUUUUUGUAAUCAUCUCAUGGUUAUGUUCAAGCAUGUACUUACGUUCAUGUAUUUGAGAGAAAAGGAACGUGAUAUUUACAGAUUACUGUCAACUGGUUCAGAGAGAGAGAAAGGGAAAAUGAUAAAGGUAACGUGCUAAAACAUUAACAAUGGUGAAUCUGGGUAAAAUGUAUGUAGGAGUUCUUUGUACUUUUU
rnacentral:lncRNA from 1 species